UAACAAUAUUUAUGCCUAUAUAAUUCCGUAAUAUGGUCGGACGUCUCUACCUCAUGCCGUAAAUAUGAGACUAUAAGCACUUUUGA
rnacentral:ncRNA from 2 species